AAGAGUUCUUGCUCAUGAUCCUUAGCCCUAAAUCGAUUCGUCAAAAAACAUCAUUUUAAGAUGCCCUCAGGAAUUCAGGUCAAGCUUGUAACAGAACACGUGAAAUAUUUGGAAGAACAGAUACAAGUUCUGGAACCUGUUAUAGGAAAUAUGAAAAAUGUUGUUACAAAAAGUAAGGCGUGGCUAGAAGAAAAAACUGACCAAUCAUCUGUCAGCUACAUCGAUUUAUCACAAGAACUGGACACAGCAGCCACGGCCUUGUUGGAUGUGACGUCACAU